rnacentral:misc_RNA from 1 species
GUGAAUCAUCAAAUCUUUGAACGCAAAUUGCACUCUCUGGUAUUCCGGGGAGUAUGCCUGUUUGAGGGUCGUUAGAAGAAAAAUCGAAGAAUCGCUAUUUUUUUUGAGGGUGAUGGGGUCGGAAUUGAGAGGUUUGUCAAAUGUUAAUUCAUGUCAAAGUGGCUUAAAAUUCAUCAAUCCGGUAGGAUUAAAGUGUAUUUAAGAUCAAUUUUGAUUAAGAACGCGCGAUGACGUACCAUCUCAUGUAGUACGUUUGAUCUGGGUCAUCAGGUGCGUUCGU